GACGAACGCUGGCGGCGUGCUUAACACAUGCAAGUCGAACGGAAAGGCCCUGCUUUUGUGGGGUGCUCGAGUGGCGAACGGGUGAGUAACACGUGAGUAACCUGCCCUUGACUUUGGGAUAACUUCAGGAAACUGGGGCUAAUACCGUAUAGGAUCUCCUGCUGCAUGGUGGGGGUUGGAAAGGUUCGGCGGUUGGGGAUGGACUCGCGGCUUAUCAGCUUGUUGGUGGGGUAGUGGCUUACCAAGGCUUUGACGGGUAGCCGGCCUGAGAGGGUGACCGGCCACAUUGGGACUGAGAUACGGCCCAGACUCCUACGGGAGGCAGCAGUGGGGAAUAUUGCACAAUGGGCGGAAGCCUGAUGCAGCAACGCCGCGUGCGGGAUGACGGCCUUCGGGUUGUAAACCGCUUUCGCCUGUGACGAAGCGUGAGUGACGGUAAUGGGUAAAGAAGCACCGGCUAACUACGUG
rnacentral:rRNA from 1 species